UCCACAGAUGCGGCAAAUCUUCUAAAUUAAUCGAAUAAGACUUUAAGUCGCAACAGGAGCUUUGGGUGGAGCGGGUAAGGCUGAACCUCGAGAAAGAAUCCAGCAGCACUUAAAAGGGAGAAGGAAACGUUGGAUAGCAUUAAAGAAAAGGAGUUGGCAAAACACUUCCAGCAAACCUGCAGUCGGAUACGAGCAUCUACUUAUCCGACAUUAAACCUCUCUCUUCGCUAAGACUUUAUCGGUCCAACAAUUCAUUCGAUUUUUUUUUCCUAUUUUAUUUUUCAUGGGGAAAUCUGACCAAAAAUCUCAGUUUUAGUCUUCUUUUCUUUCUUUCUCCCCCCGAUUAAUCUUUUAAUUAUUUUUAGUUUAUACAUUUCAGGUUAUUUGGGAUUACGUUUAAAUCUCCGAAAAAAAAAUCAGUUAAGAAUGAAUAAAUUGAAGAGUAAUAUUGAUAAGAAUUCUAUGGAAAGACCCAACAGAAAUGCAUCCUUCUCUGGGUGUCCCCUUAAACAAAAUACCGCAUUUCUUCCUAUCCUACCAAUUUGUUGGAAAACUUAAUUAAGCUCGGCUACCUUCCAUUAUUUAUACAAACCCUCCGUCCGGGAGACUUUAAGAGGUUUCUUCUCCGGUUUCCAACAUUGUUAUUAGAAAUCCAUAAAGCAGGGGAGGGGCAGGAAAUUAAAUUUAAAGGUACCUCAUUACGGCACAACUGCUUUCCUAUGGCAGCGGACGGAGACAACACAUGGCGGCAUAAAAGGCUGAGUCCCCCCAGCACGUAGACUUGGCAAUCCUCUCGAAAUGACCUUUUAAUUCCAAGCCUAGCAAGCUUCCGUCCACACAGCGGGCUCUAAGAGUCGGCAGAGAGGGGAGGAAAAUAAACUAAAAUAGAAGAGAGGACACCGAUGCGAAUGGAAGAGCCACGCAGAUGGAAAGCGUGGGGCGGAUGGUGACUGGCGAGAGAGCAAAGGAGCCUCCAGCAGAACGGACACCUCGAAAUCCCCAAUUGCGGUGGGUGCGAAGCCACGUCAUCCCAGAGCCGACUGAGGACAGAGGUUAUGCGGCACCGGGGAAGCUGCGGGCCCGGAGGGGUGGCUGGGUGCGGGACCCCCGGUGCCGGCUGCUGCCGACCCUUUUGCACCCCCAAAGGAGGUGCGAGGGGGGAAACAUCCCCUCAUCCCCCUCCUUUAGAGCUAAGGAGCCGAGGGUGGGUGGCGGAGAGGGGAGUGCUGGGAGCUGCCGGGUGACUGGUGGGCUCCGGCUUUGCGAAAACGGUAUUUUGGGAUAAGGUGGGGGGGGAGAGGGGGGCAAGUCUCUGCCGAUUGACUUAUCUGUUAGAAAAUGCGUGUGCAGGCGGCUUCCGGCGGGGCUCACCAAUCCGGGGCGGACGAG
ensembl:lncRNA